rnacentral:rRNA from 1 species
AUACGGAGGAUCCGAGCGUUAUCCGGAUUUAUUGGGUUUAAAGGGAGCGUAGGUGGAUUGUUAAGUCAGUUGUGAAAGUUUGCGGCUCAACCGUAAAAUUGCAGUUGAAACUGGCAGUCUUGAGUACAGUAGAGGUGGGCGGAAUUCGCGGUGUAGCGGUGAAAUGCUUAGAUAUCACGAAGAACUCCGAUUGCGAAGGCAGCUCACUAGACUGUUACUGACACUGAUGCUCGAAAGUGUGGGUAUCAAACAGGAUUAGAUACCCUGGUAGUCCAUACAGUAAACGAUGAAUACUCGCUGUUUGCGAUAUACAGUAAGCGGCCAAGCGAAAGCAUUAAGUAUUCCACCUGGGGAGUACGCCGGCAACGGUGAAACUUAAAGGAAUUGGCGGGG